UUGAAGAGUUUGAUCAUGGCUCAGAUUGAACGCUGGCGGCAGGCCUAACACAUGCAAGUCGAACGGUAGCACAGAGAGCUUGCUCUCGGGUGACGAGUGGCGGACGGGUGAGUAAUGUCUGGGAAACUGCCCGAUGGAGGGGGAUAACUACUGGAAACGGUAGCUAAUACCGCAUAACGUCGCAAGACCAAAGUGGGGGACCUUCGGGCCUCACACCAUCGGAUGUGCCCAGAUGGGAUUAGCUAGUAGGUGGGGUAACGGCUCACCUAGGCGACGAUCCCUAGCUGGUCUGAGAGGAUGACCAGCCACACUGGAACUGAGACACGGUCCAGACUCCUACGGGAGGCAGCAGUGGGGAAUAUUGCACAAUGGGCGCAAGCCUGAUGCAGCCAUGCCGCGUGUAUGAAGAAGGCCUUCGGGUUGUAAAGUACUUUCAGCGAGGAGGAAGGCGUUAAGGUUAAUAACCUUAGCGAUUGACGUUACUCGCAGAAGAAGCACCGGCUAACUCCGUGCCAGCAGCCGCGGUAAUACGGAGGGUGCAAGCGUUAAUCGGAAUUACUGGGCGUAAAGCGCACGCAGGCGGUUUGUUAAGUCAGAUGUGAAAUCCCCGGGCUCAACCUGGGAACUGCAUUUGAAACUGGCAAGCUUGAGUCUCGUAGAGGGGGGUAGAAUUCCAGGUGUAGCGGUGAAAUGCGUAGAGAUCUGGAGGAAUACCGGUGGCGAAGGCGGCCCCCUGGACGAAGACUGACGCUCAGGUGCGAAAGCGUGGGGAGCAAACAGGAUUAGAUACCCUGGUAGUCCACGCCGUAAACGAUGUCUAUUUGGAGGUUGUUCCCUUGAGGAGUGGCUUCCGGAGCUAACGCGUUAAAUAGACCGCCUGGGGAGUACGGCCGCAAGGUUAAAACUCAAAUGAAUUGACGGGGGCCCGCACAAGCGGUGGAGCAUGUGGUUUAAUUCGAUGCAACGCGAAGAACCUUACCUACUCUUGACAUCCAGAGAACUUAGCAGAGAUGCUUUGGUGCCUUCGGGAACUCUGAGACAGGUGCUGCAUGGCUGUCGUCAGCUCGUGUUGUGAAAUGUUGGGUUAAGUCCCGCAACGAGCGCAACCCUUAUCCUUUGUUGCCAGCGGUCCGGCCGGGAACUCAAAGGAGACUGCCAGUGAUAAACUGGAGGAAGGUGGGGAUGACGUCAAGUCAUCAUGGCCCUUACGAGUAGGGCUACACACGUGCUACAAUGGCAUAUACAAAGAGAAGCGACCUCGCGAGAGCAAGCGGACCUCAUAAAGUAUGUCGUAGUCCGGAUUGGAGUCUGCAACUCGACUCCAUGAAGUCGGAAUCGCUAGUAAUCGUAGAUCAGAAUGCUACGGUGAAUACGUUCCCGGGCCUUGUACACACCGCCCGUCACACCAUGGGAGUGGGUUGCAAAAGAAGUAGGUAGCUUAACCUUCGGGAGGGCGCUUACCACUUUGUGAUUCAUGACUGGGGUGAAGUCGUAACAAGGUAACCGUAGGGGAACCUGCGGUUGGAUCACCUCCUU
rnacentral:rRNA from 2 species